GACGAACGCUGGCGGCGUGCUUAACACAUGCAAGUCGAACGGAAAGGCCCUGCUUUUGUGGGGUGCUCGAGUGGCGAACGGGUGAGUAACACGUGAGUAACCUGCCCUCGACUUUGGGAUAACUUCAGGAAACUGGGGCUAAUACCGGAUAGGAGCUCCUGCUGCAUGGUGGGGGUUGGAAAGUUUCGGCGGUUGGGGAUGGACUCGCGGCUUAUCAGCUUGUUGGUGGGGUAGUGGCUUACCAAGGCUUUGACGGGUAGCCGGCCUGAGAGGGUGACCGGCCACAUUGGGACUGAGAUACGGCCCAGACUCCUACGGGAGGCAGCAGGGGGGAAUAUUGCACAAUGGGCGGAAGCCUGAUGCAGCAACGCCGCGUGCGGGAUGACGGCCUUCGGGUUGUAAACCGCUUUCGCCUGUGACGAAGCGUGAGUGACGGUAAUGGGUAAAGAAGCACCGGCUAACUACGUG
rnacentral:rRNA from 1 species